rnacentral:rRNA from 1 species
GAUGAACGCUAGCGGCAGGCCUAACACAUGCAAGUCGAGGGAGGAGCUUUCGGGCUUCGACCGGCGUACGGGUGCGUAACGCGUAUACAAUCUGCCUUUCACAUAGGGAUAGCCCGAAGAAAUUUGGAUUAAUACCUAAUGGUAUAUAGGAGUGGCAUCACCUUUAUAUUAAAGCUGAGGCGGUGAAAGAUGAGUAUGCGUUCUAUUAGCUAGUUGGAGAGGUAACGGCUCCCCAAGGCGACGAUAGAUAGGGGUUCUGAGAGGGAUAUCCCCCACACUGGUACUGAGAUACGGACCAGACUCCUACGGGAGGCAGCAGUGAGGAAUAUUGGACAAUGGUCGGAAGACUGAUCCAGCCAUGCCGCGUGCAGGAAGACGGCCUUAUGGGUUGUAAACUGCUUUUGCAGGGGAAGAAUAAGGAGUACGUGUACUUUGAUGACGGUACUCUGCGAAUGAGCAUCGGCUAACUCCGUG